UACGUAGGGGGCUAGCGUUGUCCGGAAUCAUUGGGCGUAAAGCGCGUGUAGGCGGCCCGGUAAGUCCGCUGUGAAAGUCGGGGGCUCAACCAAGGAAGUGCAGCGAAAACUGCUAAGCUCGAGUUCUGAAGAGGGUCGCGGAAUGGCCAGUGUAGAGGUGAAAUUCGUAGAUAUUGGCUAGAACACCAGUGGCGAAGGCGGCGACCUGGGAAGAUACUGACGCUGAGGUGCGAAAGCGUGGGGAGCAAACAGG
rnacentral:rRNA from 1 species